UUGGGAGCUCUCCCAUAUGGUCGACCUGCAGGCGGCCGCGAAUUCACUAGUGAUUAGAGUUUGAUCCUGGCUCAGAACGAACGCUGGCGGCAUGCCUAACACAUGCAAGUCGAACGAACCCUUCGGGGUUAGUGGCGCACGGGUGCGUAACGCGUGGGAAUCUGCCCUUGGCUUCGGAAUAACAGUUAGAAAUGACUGCUAAUACCGGAUGAUGUCUUCGGACCAAAGAUUUAUCGGCCAGGGAUGAGCCCGCGUAGGAUUAGGUAGUUGGUGGGGUAAAGGCCUACCAAGCCGACGAUCCUUAGCUGGUCUGAGAGGAUGAUCAGCCACGCUGGGACUGAGACACGGCCCAAACUCCUACGGGAGGCAGCAGUGGGGAAUAUUGGACAAUGGGCGCAAGCCUGAUCCAGCAAUGCCGCGUGAGUGAUGAAGGCCUUAGGGUCGUAAAGCUCUUUUACCCGGGAUGAUAAUGACAGUACCGGGAGGAUAAGCUCCGGCUAACUCCGUGCCAGCAGCCGCGGUAAUACGUAUUACCGCGGCUGCUGAGCCAUGAUCAAACUCUAAUCGAAUUCCCGCGGCCGCCAUGGCGGCCGGAAGCAUGC
rnacentral:rRNA from 1 species